GGAAGCGAAUGGGGUCUGGUGGCUCCCGCGGUCUUCAAAACCGUUGUUUCCCCAAAAUUGGGGAAAGGUAGGUUCGAUUCCUACCCGCUUCCGCCA
rnacentral:tRNA from 1 species